rnacentral:rRNA from 1 species
AGAGUUUGAUCCUGGCUCAGGACGAACGCUGGCGGCGUGGAUUAGGCAUGCAAGUCGAACGCGAAAGUUUCCCUUCGGGGAAAUGAUUAGAGUGGCGGACGGGUGAGUAACGCGUAGGUAUCUGCCUUUAAGUGGGGGAUAGCCCCGGGAAACCGGGAUUAAUACCGCAUGUGGAACUUCGGUUCUAAAGAUGGCCUCUGUUUCAAGCUAUCGCUUAGAGAUGAGCCUGCGUCCUAUUAGCUAGUUGGUAAGGUAACGGCUUACCAAGGCGAUGAUAGGUAGGCGGCUUUAACGAGUGGUCGCCCACACUGGGAUUGAGAUACGGCCCAGACUCCUACGGGAGGCAGCAGUCGAGAAUAGUCUACAAUGGAGGAAACUCUGAUAGUGCGACGCCGCGUGGAUGAAGAAGCAUUUCGGUGUGUAAAAUCCUUUUCUUUGUGAGCAAUGCCUGUAUGAUUAAUAGUUUUACAGGAGAGAUAUUAGCAGAGGAAUAAGCUCCGGCUAACUCCGUGCCAGCAGCCGCGGUAACACGGGGGGAGCAAGCGUUGUCCGGAAUUACUAGGCGUAAAGGGCAAGUAGGCGGAAUUGUAAGUCAGAUGUUAAAGGCACCGGCUCAACCGGUGUACGGCAUUUGAUACUGUAAUUCUAGAGUAAGGUGGGGGAAGAUGGAAUUCCUGGUGUAGCGGUGGAAUGCGCAGAUAUCAGGAAGAACACCAGAGGCGAAGGCGAUCUUCUAUACCAUUACUGACGCUAAAUUGCGAAGGUGUGGGUAUCAAACAGGAUUAGAUACCCUGGUAGUCCACACAGUAAACGAUAUACACUAGGUGUUGGGGGAGAUGAUCUUUCAGUGCCGUAGCUAACGCGUUAAGUGUAUCGCCUGGGGAGUACGGUCGCAAGAUUAAAACUCAAAGGAAUUGACGGGGGCCCGCACAAGCGGUGGAGCAUGUGGUUUAAUUCGAUGCAACGCGAAGAACCUUACCUGGAUUUGACAUCCCGAGAAGUCUUUCGAAAGAUAGA